rnacentral:piRNA from 1 species
UGUGAUGUUACUUUUGAAAGCCCAAGAAUU